GUAGCGUAUGUAGUGUAUGUGUAGGAUGUGUGUGUGAUGUGUGUGUGUGUGGGGAAUCAUUCACUGGCGCCAUUCUCUAACACGUCCGUGUCGUUUUGUUCCCAGACAAGACCACUGAAAGUGCCGCUGCCUCAGCCACCCCGAGUAGAGGAGGAGGAAGUCUCACUCGAGUUCACGACCUCACUUUACACAUCAUCUCUGCGGUGCUGGUCUCUGCCGGCGUGGCGCUGAUUGUCCUGUUGUACUUCGCACGGAAGAAGCUGCUGGGCUGUGCUUCCAACUGCCUGGCCAAGCACACUCGCUCAAAGGCCAACAUAGAUGAUGCUGCUGAGGUGGUCUACACGAUGGUGACUGUGGCCGGCAAGCAAACCGCCAGUUCUAUGAACCGAGAAGAUCACCACCACCGCCGCAUCAUCAUCGAUGAUGACUAUUCGGAGCGUGUGAUCUACUCCACCGUUACAGGCCACUCCUAGCGCACUUCUCGGCGUUUCUGUGUCGACUCACCACAUCUCCACUCAUCACAUCUUCCGCAUACAUUGGCCGAGUCUCUAUCCUUUUAACUUUUGUCUUCAUCACAACUCAACCACGCGUGAGCCCCGGCUAACACGAUGGCAAUCGCAGAAUGGAGGGUGUUCGGGUGGAACGUGAAGGGGGGAAAUAUUUGGACUCACGAGACCUACACAGCUGGGAACACCACGUGCUAUUAAAACAAAAAAAAUAUAUCUACU